rnacentral:rRNA from 1 species
ACGGUGGAUGCCCUGGCAGUCAGAGGCGAUGAAGGGCGUACUAAUCUGCGAUAAGCGCCGGUAAGGUGAUAUGAACCGUUAUAACCGGCGAUACCCGAAUGGGGAAACCCAGUGUGAUUCGUCACACUAUCAUUAACUGAAUCCAUAGGUUAAUGAGGCGAACCGGGGGAACUGAAACAUCUAAGUACCCCGAGGAAAAGAAAUCAACCGAGAUUCCCCCAGUAGCGGCGAGCGAACGGGGAGGAGCCCAGAGCCUGAAUCAGCAUGUGUGUUAGUGGAAGCGUCUGGAAAGGCGCGCGAUACAGGGUGACAGCCCCGUACACAAAAGCGCAUGUGCUGUGAGCUCGAUGAGUAGGGCGGGACACGUGGUAUCCUGUCUGAAUAUGGGGGGACCAUCCUCCAAGGCUAAAUACUCCUGACUGACCGAUAGUGAACCAGUACCGUGAGGGAAAGGCGAAAAGAACCCCGGCGAGGGGAGUGAAAAAGAACCUGAAACCGUGUACGUACAAGCAGUGGGAGCACCCUUUGGGUGUGACUGCGUACCUUUUGUAUAAUGGGUCAGCGAC